rnacentral:miRNA from 11 species
CGUGGUGUUUAGACGUAUUACA